rnacentral:rRNA from 1 species
GAUCUUUAUUUUUGUUUUUUAUAGUUUAAUAAGAUUAUUAAAAAUUAUAAUUAAAUUAAAAAUUUUACUGGGGUGGUAUUAAAAUUUAAGUAACUUUUAAGAAUUUAAACAUUAAUAAAUGAAUAGUUGAUCCAAUUUUAUUGAUUAAAAAAUUAAGUUACCUUAGGGAUAACAGCGUAAUAUUUUUUUAGAGUUCAUAUCGACAAAAAAGAUUGC